rnacentral:misc_RNA from 1 species
GAUGAAGAACGUAGCGAAAUGCGAUAAGUAGUGUGAAUUGCAGAAUUCAGUGAAUCAUCGAAUCUUUGAACGCACAUUGCGCCCUUUGGUAUUCCUUAGGGCAUGCCUGUUCGAGCGUCAUUUAAACCUUCAAGCUAAGCUUGGUGUUGGGUGACUGUCCGCUUCACGGCGGACUCGCCUCAAAAUUAUUGGCGGCCGGUACAUUGGCUUCGAGCGCAGCAGAAACGCGAACUCGGGCCCGUCGUAUUGGCUCCCAGAAGCUAUCUUCACAAUUUUGACCUCGGAUAAGGUAGGGAUACCCGCUGAACUUAAGCAUAUCAAUAAGCGGAGGA